GGAGGCGAUAGCGAAUUCAGCAUGGGAAGGUAGAACAUGGAUCUCGGUCAUUGAGAAAGGAAGGACGCUUGUCGGUUCUGAUUGCUUCAUCAGAGACAGGGUCUAGCGAAGGAAAGAGACUGAAUUGGGUUCAACAUCAGCACUCGUUACUAGCUUCUUCGGAGUCCUUUGAACUAGAGUUCGUUCAAAAGCGCAUAAGAUGAGUUGAAUAGCCUGAGUUCACUCAUUUCUCUUUCGACCGGAACUCCUUCAUCAGUGAAUCCGUAAGUGACUUCGAUACCUUUCCAAGAGUCACUCGCUUCCAUGCCCUUAGCACCAACACUACUGGACCUUCCUCCAAGAGCAGAAAUAGCCAUUCUUGCUGCCCUUCAACGACAACAGAUGCGGAUGAAAUAGCCGCGCUCGCUUAUUCAAUUCGGCCUCUAGCUAAGUGAAUUUGUGAUGAAAGAUCUUCCUAUCCUUUUGCCCUCUCCAGCGUCUGGAAUCCGUACUUGGGAAGCAGAUCUCCCCCGCGAUAACCGACCUCAACAACUUAGUUGGAUGACUUCCCACUUUCUUAUGAGCCCUAACCGCAAUCUACAGCAAAUCCUGUAGAUUGUACUCGACCCAUACGACUUCUUGUCUUGCUUCGUUAUGUACUCAAUCCCCACCCAUUAUGGAACUUCUUGUGCAACUGCGACUCUUCAAAUUCGGGAAACUUCUCCCAAAGCUGUUGCCCCCCUUGACGCAUUGGUUGCCAAGAUUCCUACAUGGUAGUUGAACCCCGGGAUUCGUUCUUUUCCGUUGCUAUAACAAUUGCUCUAUAUUCGAAGCAAAUUCUACCAAUUUCUGAUUGAUGUAAGUUCUCCGCACACUCUUUUUUCCGCCGAAACCUUAGAAA
rnacentral:misc_RNA from 1 species